GCUGCGAUUUGCUUUGUGAAGCAGUGGAGCAUUUGGCUCACCGGGGGAUCUGUACACAGCACACACACACACACACACACACACACACACACUCUCACACACACAUUUUCACAGCGAAUGUGGGGGUUUUCAGAGAAAUCAGGCACAAAGGCACUUACAGGAUACAUGCAUAGGUACAUUUCAUUUCUAGCCUUUUAACCCAACUCUGUCUCCUACCUCCAACUGUGCAGUAAAAAUAUUUCAAAAACAUGAAAAUACUUCCAAUACCAAUACAACAACAACAACAACAACAACCAAAUGUGCAGGUUACAGACAAGCAGUGGCGAUGACCUCAUCCUGGCCUUCCCAGAAACCUCACCUCUGAUUACAUAAGGGUGACUGCUAGUGACACCUAAUCUACCAGGCCUUAGCUGAACUAACCAACAACCUCUCAAUAAUGCACGAGAGGUCAAUGCGUUGUGAGUGUGCGUGACUCUGAGGAGUGCCAAGUAGAAGGGACCAACAACCGUGUCAAUGUCAGGCACCUUUUGCUUUUCAGUCGUCAAAAUUCAUCAGAGACCAGGCCAUUUAUGGAUUUCUCUAGACCAGAAAUCAGUUAAGAGGGACUGAGGAAAAGUGAAUCUUCUUGUGGUCUAACAAAUGGAAAUUUGACAUUCUUUGGGGAAAUUACGGACAUUGCGCUUUCAGUUUUUAAGAGUAAGGAGACAGUCUUGCAUGUUAAAGGUUAUGUGCUUCAAAAUAGGUGCGUAUGUGCCAAUGGACUGGCAGGUUUACACAUCAUGGAAGUUAACACCAAUGCUGGUUAAUAUGCACAGGUUUUGUAGCAAUGUAAGCUGCCAAAAUACAUUUUGCACAUAUUACAACAGGAUGUCUUUGUAACACAAGAGUCUAGGUGCUAAACUGGUGUGCCUGCUGUCCCAACUUGUCAUCUCUUGAAAACAUGUGUUGCAUCAUGACCCCCAAAAAAAUCAAAGAGGAUAUCCUGAGUUGUUGAUCAGCUAAAAUUAUUAUCAGGCAUUAAAGUUGUGUUCUUGCCAGUGAAGUCUUUGUUGAUGACAUUAAGAAGGAGAUAGUUUAGAUCUGCAGUUUGUGUAAAGAGUCCAGAGACAGUACUUCAAAUGUUUUGUCACUAAAUAAUCAAAGUGAGUACAAAGUCGAAUGGGCAGUGGGUAAAUCUAGCAGCAGAAACUCAUAUUCCCCUGUGUAUUUUCAGUUUGUAUUGAUUGCAACCACAGUGAUUUUAACCAUGAGCCUUGGAGAAAGGAAGAAAGAACCAAGAUUUCCUCUGCAAACUUUCACCAAAGAAAAAAUGUGAGCAAAUAGAUGUCACAACAUAAUAAUCUUGAAGAAGCACAUUUAUAUUUCUGUGGAUUCAAUAUGAUGAAAGAAUUUUGUUUUUCUCUUUCAUUUUUUCAUAUGACAUGAUCAUCUUCGAAAUAAAACUACAUGUGGGAUUUGAAAGGUUUUGGUAUCAGUGAGUGGACUCCAGACUGCCAUUUAACCAUGUGUACUGAUGACCAAUAUAAAUCAAGUAUACAUAUUUUAUUUGCUUUAUCCUUCAGUUUUGUCAUUUGUAUCAUAAAUGUAUAGAUUUUUAAAUUUAUAUCACAAAUAUGCAUGUUUUAAGGCUUUAAUGAACCCAUUAAUGCCCUACUGUCUCAGAUAUAAACAUCUAAACUCUCAAACUAAAGACUUUCAACUCUUUCAGGUCAACCUCUACAUUUUUAUUACAUCUCUUCACGAGAUGGCUUUGAUUUGUUUUUUCUGAGUUGAUUUUCUGCUUUUAUCUUGUUCCACACAGUGACUGAGCAAAAAAAAAAUUCUCCUCACUUGGUUUUCUUAUUCUCUGCUCUUACUCUCUCCUGUCCCUGUACCACACCCCUCCUCCACCACCACAAGGGGUUAAUUAAAACUGAUUGGGUCCUGGGAGGCCACACCUGCUUCUGACAGGUAAGGUAUCAGGCUUAUGUGAGCUGUGUGUAUUGGUGUAUGUGUGUGUGUGUGACUCUGUGGAUAUGUGCUAAGCACAUCAGUCUGUUAGCAUAUCAUGUGCUCUGCUGCUCUGGGUUGAAGCAGUCCCGUUAUAACAUCAUGAUGGCGCUCAGAGUGUGUGCCUCUGUUAGUUUUUAUAUUUCCCUGUAGUCUCCAGUAUUUAACUGCAUUUGCAUGAGAUUUGUAUCUGUAAAGAUAUAUGCAUUACAUUUGUGUGCCUCAUCUUUUCAGAGCCACUUAAGGCGCUCAUGCUUGAUGUGCUGAUUAGACUUCUCGCUGGAACCAAUCGCUGCUCGGCUUUGACUUCACGCUUGCCCGCCUGUCGGUCAUGAUGAGAGCCACUGGAGGAGGAGACUUAUAUGCUGUUUAACCCUCAGAUGAUUAUCUUCACUAUCACUGAGAGAAUAUGCGGGAGGUAAAGUAUCAUCAGUUCAAGGAUCAUGGCAGCUAACAUGAAUGCUGAUAGAGCAAAAGCAUGCACACAUAGUUCGUGUAAUCGAAUGCACAAAGGAGACAGUGAUUAAACAAAUGUGAUGGCCCACAUUAGGGCUGUGGUUUUAUCUGUGUGUGUGCAUAUUUGCUGGCAAGUCAGGUGUUUGUGUGUAGAGGCAAGAACUAGUGUUGUAUAACAGCAGCUGGCAGGGGAGAUGUGCAACACACACACACACACACACACACACACACACACACACACACACACACACACACACACACACACACACACUGAGCUCCUGCUGCUUGGUUGGCAAGUAGAACAGUCAAAUUAGCCACUGGAGAACAAACCGAUCCAAGAACUCUGCUGGGAAAAGGUGAAGGGAAAAAAAGUAAGGGGAGAAAGAAAUAGAGGAGCUAAGAUGAUGAAGAAGAAGGAGAUGGAGAGAGGAAGAACAGAGCGGACGUGACAGAGAGGAAGAAGAUGAGAGGCAGCGCCGUGGGGGGAAGGUACGGCUGAGAGUUGUAAAUGAGUUGGAGAAAAUAAGAGCAGGGGAGCAAUGAAGGAGGUUAUAGAGGUAAUUGAGAGAAGGAUAGAGACCAAGGCUGGAAGGAAAAUGAGCCAGAAUGAGCGAGGAAAUAGAAGAAGAGAUGGUGUAACAAGAGGAUAUGACACGAUGGGUAGAUAGACACGGGGGAAAGGGCGCAAAUUUACCUGAGGUAAAGAGUGGGAUAUUUUAGGACUACAGACUCUCACCAUGUAGAUAUACCAAAAGUAACCGCACACUUUGAUUUUAGAAACAGGUCUCAGAAAAUCUCUACAUUUUAACGCUGCGAUAAUGUAAGAUAAAGAACAAGGGUGAAAGUAAACAUGUUGUUCCCAGUGGUGCAGUGAGCCCUUCAUGGCCAAUUAGAGGCCCGACAAAAUGUAACUUUGGUGUGCCCUGAAACUACUGUAGCAGUGACUGGCAUAACCUGUCAAAAUGCAGUCUGAAAUCACAGUGGCACAUGUAUGACCUGAAGCACAGAAUCAAAAACAAUAAUAUCAAACACAAGAAUGCCUUUUCUUUCUACACUUCAACUGAGCCAUUACAGCAGAGAGUGGGGAUGCUGACAGUCUGAUUUUAUGAUCAGACACAACACGAGAGCAAACUGCAAAGAGCUGUGGAACAUGAUGGGCCCAUUAAGAGUUGGAAUUUUCAAUUAUUUAGUAAAAUAAAAUAAAGGAAGAAAGAAAGAAAGAAACAUUCUGGGCCAAAUCGCACUUGAAUUUUAUUGAUGCAAAGUUUUUAAAUCGUUUUAUGUGGAUCUAUUGAAUGAAAGCAAAUUUGCCUGCUUUACAUUGAUGCAAUGCUUGAACUUAGUCCUUUAUAUGUCUUCCAUUGUAUUCCCUGUCUUGAGUCAAUUCAGCUGAAUAGUCUGUUAAGCACACACACUUUACAGAUACUAUUUCUAAUGUUGUUUGCAAGGUUUGCAACUAGUUUAAUGCUCAAGCGAACAGAUGAUUGAAAAAAAAAUCAAAACUCAAGAGAUACAUCUCUAACUCUAUUCAUUCAUUCUGGUUUGUACGAUAGAAAAUGUGAGUAAGUGCUGUUUCAGUGGUUCCUUUGCACUUUCUUUAUCAUAAAUGUGCGUGGGAGGUAGAAGCAUUGAAUACUGGUCACUGAAUAGAAAGCCAAGCAUACAUUUUCUGUCACUGAGUUGUGGUCUCGCAAAUAAAUUGAAUCUGAAUGCAAAAUGUGAACAGUCAAGGAUGGACGGUUCUGAAUGAAGAGAGACAAGAUCUAAUUGUGCGGGACCUGCCUCCUUAACAUGACACAGAAGUCAUUUGACUCCAUGAAAAUGCAAGGUUUCUGUCCCUCUGUUUCUGGAUCAAAGUUCUCCAUACAUGGUUAGACACUUUGUAAAACUCUUAGCGAUGACAUAGCAAAAGAAAUCGACUCUUUCUGCCUUUUUUUUUUCUGUGGCUUUUUUGUAGUUGGGUUCACAGACCUUCACCUUGGCCUAAGACAGAAAAGAAGUCAGUGGAGUCAAAGCAGCAGUGAGCAAAGAGUAAAACUGGCUUUUGACACUGGUUAUCAUACAUGUUUAGAAGUAUAUUGUUCAUCUGCAGAUUUGAAUGUUGGACAGAUUAAAGGAGGGAUGCCACUGUGCAGAGGGUUUUAUGAGAGUACUAUACUCUCACAAGAAGGAUGUAUUUUUUUUCAAACAGCUAAAUAAAUAUAUGCCUGACCUGACUACCCUUCUGACACUCUCAAAGAAACAUUCAAAUAUGCAUUUAAAGUCAACAACCCAUGACUGAAAGUAGCUUAAAUGGCAGUGAAUUGAUUUUACAUCAAGAGACACUACCAGGUUUUUGUCACCCAACACACUCAGAACACCACUGCACUUGUCAAUAUGGCUUGUAACCUGAAUGAUCAAAUCAAGAAAGGACGGGACUUUGGAUAUCAACUUUGUAAAAAUAUAUUUGUAUGGAGGAGAAACUGACCAGUGGGCCACACGGUGAAGGUUUCCUUUCUCGAGCUGUAGCUGACAACCUCCUCUUCUCCCACUCUGUUUACUGACAGAAAACUGCCGAACUGAAUAUUUCGCUUUUGCCAACAAUUUCUAAAAAGAAAAGACUUGCACCUCUCAGUGUGAAUAUAUUCCAAGCAGAUCAUGGUAAAUGUCACUCAAGAAUUUUAAGGAAAAAGGAUUUUUGACUGAAAGUGCAUUUAUGUAGUUUUGCUUUCCAGCAAAAGGCCGAUGAUGCAGGUCAAGCGGAAAAAUCAGCAAAAAAGAAAUUGAGAGUUUUAGUGCGAGAUGCCUCGAAGCCUGCGUCUUUGAUCCUUGAGCCACUUAGUUGAGUCUUUUCACCAUCCGAAUCCAUGCACUCGCUGCAAUAGAAGAAAAGCAGAGGAGGACAAGGUAAGAUAGACAGGCGUAUUCUCUGUAAUGAGUUGGGUUGAGCCAGAGCCAGACCUGGACCAGACCCACAGCGGCUCGAUCCAGCUAAUUAUGCAAGGCUGCAGACGGGUAUGGCAGACAGAAGGAGAUGGAAAAAGAAUACAGGAGAAUAUGAGAUGAGAAAGAGAGACGGAGGGAAGGUGAAUAUGGACAGAGUGUCAGAAAAAGAGAAAAAAAUAAGGAGAGAGGUAACAAUGAGGGGGAUACACACAAAGGAAAAUAGCAGGGACGCUGCAGAAGGACUGAGGUUUGUCCUUUGGCCGAUGGUCAAUUAGUGGUGGGGAGAGUAGCAGGCCACUGCGAUCUGUGUGUGCGGCUUCUGAGAGCUCUCAGCUUGUUUACUCUUGGACUGAAGGAGACAGCUGGGGCACCUUCAACACUGAGGCUGCACAGCAUCAUUAAGGGAAUAACUAAUGAAGUCAAAGUGAGAUGAAAUGUUUCCUCUAUUGUGGUCAAGAAAACAAAGGAUUUACUCUAAAAUCAGACGCAGUGCUUUAAAAAGGAGACGUUCCUUUGAAAAUAUCAAAGACACACCGACUUUGAAUAAUAACAGCUUCAUAUCACAGUACAGAACACCACUGUGCGUUGUUAAGCCAUCCUUAUUAGGAACGGGAACAUGGGAUAAAGUAGGGAUAUAUGGAAAAUAGUAUCUUUAAUAUUAGUAAUUUUAAGGCAUUAACUAUGUCUUGUAAGACAUAAUUAAUGCCUAGACUGCAUAAAAUUAAAAUGUAUGGAAAAUAGGGUAUUGGUAAAAGACAAAAUGUUGAUAUAAGAAACAAAGAUUAAGGAAAUGUGUCUAAAAGGCAUUUGACCAGUUAAAAGAAGAAAAAAAUAGCACAUCAAUGCAAGUAUGAUAAAGGUGACAAACAAACAGUUGAAGUGAGCCUCUUUCAAACAUGCUUAAAGUUCCUGAAAACUUUUUUAAAUGAUCUGAGUGAGCUACAUGUAGGAUCACAAACAAACAAGAUUCUCCUCUUGACUUCAUCUGCAAAUUUUCCCACCAGCCUGCUUGGUGUAGAAAUGCUACUGUGGUGCAAAUGUUGGGCUUCUACUUAAAGUUUUCAGAUCAUGUAAAGGGAUGAGUGUACUUGACAAAAGUGUGUCAGUACUCUGAGAUUAAACCUUAAUUUAAACCUUCAGGAGAAGUGUAUCUCAGUACACCAAUACCCACUAUUAGAUAAACAAUACAAAAUCACUUUAUGUCACACCACCUUAGUCAACAUCUGCCUCGUCAGAGUAAUCGACAAAACACUCGUGAGUACAAUGUAACUCCUGCAGCCCCUGAACUAUAGAUGGGUUUCUGUGCAACGAAUGUGCGCACAGCCAGGGGGAAGAAAGUGGGACAUUUCUUAGUCAACAGAGAAAGAAAAUGACAAGGAGCUGUUGUGCUGUAAACUGCACGAAUCAGCAAAACAAACAAUUGGCAAACAUCACGACCCUGCUCCUGAUAUUAGAAACAUCUAAAACAACGUCACAACCUGGUAGAGUGAGAUGCAGAUUUGAAGAUAAAGUAGAAGUAAAAGUUGCCCAAAAACCCAUGAUUACAGGCCAAAAGAGUUAAAAGUGAAAGAAAAAUGAUAAUGAAAAUGAUAAAUGUGUGAAAACUUGUGGAUAAACAGCUGUGAGAAAUGACUUAUUUAAUGCUUAAAAGUAGUGAAUAGUUGUUUUAAAUGAAUAAAAGUAAUGUAAAAGGGGUUUAUUAGAUAUAAAGGUUUGGGUCUGGUCUCUUUGUUCACGCUCCUGGGGCCUUUUGUCAAGUACUUUGGAAAAGUAACCCCAUUUCCCCGUUGCACACCGAAUUCCCGUAAAAUGUAAAUAUAAAGUAGGUAAAUGUCAGAGUUUUGGCCAAGUUUCAGACACUUGUUCAGGUUCCAGCGUUUUCUCUUUGAAACUUAAGAGUCAGACAAUGAAGGAGAAGAAGAAGAGAAGCCCCCCAUUUAACUGUUCUACUCCUGCAGGGCCAGUUUACGCGUCCCUGGCCAAUCUCUAUUGAAGGCUGGCUGAUGUGGGCAGACGUACCGUUUGCACCAUGCUCUCCCCAGCAUUCCUCUGUUUGUCUGCACCUCCAAUAAGAACAUGUAGUCUGGCCAUUAUGUGUUUGUGUGUCUGGCUGGCUCGCCGGUUGGCAUGGGCUGGGCGAAAGAUGUGUGGGCAGAAUGCUAACUCGCUUUGAUUGUAAUGUUGAAGUGUGUGCGUGUGAAGGCGUGUGCAGGACUGAAGGACACCAAAGUUGAGGUUAUGAUAUUUCUUCAAUGAUUUCUAUCUACUGCAGAAGAUGAAGAUCUUG